UGUCUGGGCAGAGCCUGGUUGAUGUAAUCCUAGAAGGGAACUUCUCUUGCCUGCCCAGGUCCACUUCCAGUUGCCAGUCGUUGGCGUGAGGUGAGGAGGCCGGACUGCGCCCAGUGGUGGCUUGGACUUGGUCUUGGGUUGUUUUCCCGAGGUGCGAAGCGAUUGGAGUGAAAAUGGCGUGAAGAACAGCUUCAAGCCCCCAGCCGACAGCAAUGAAUACCACUGUUGUGAGAAAAGGCCAACAAACAAGACACAAUACAGCACAAUAAAGAAAUACACUACUUUGGAGUCAGAUGAUGUCAUCAUCAGUGGACCCCUUAGGGGCCUCAAGGAAGUCUUGGUACGACUGUGUUCAGCCAUGAUCUCAGUCUGCUUCCGUGCUACAAUAAAUCCACUAUGUGUGUC